UGGGUAGGAGGUACUUGCUGGGAGGAAUAUCUGCCUGGAGACACUGUUCUCUACUGGCAAAUGCCACGUGGAGAACAAAGUCGGCACAGUCAGCUUUCAGAGCUGAGGCAAGGAUUCCUGAGGACAGCAAUGUAAACACCCUGAUCCAGCCAUGCCUGAGGCUAGAUAGGCCCCUGGGCCAUUCGUUUGAAUCCAUACAUUCAUACGAAUCCAUGAAUUCCUUGUUUUCUCCUGGCACUUUGAGUUGUCUUUUCCUUGCAGCUGAACAUCUUAUCUCAUCUGACCCUCUAGUAGAGCAAAGACUUUAGCCACCAUUUCUGGAUGAGCCUUGGUGGCUCCAGGUCAGAUGGCUCAUCAAAGGUGAAACCUACCUGCGGGCUGUCACACCGAGACUUUCUCCAGGAGCUGAGGUGGCAGUGCUGAUAAUUUCUACAGCAGCAGAGUGUGCCAGUUUCCAGCAGCUGUUCGGGGUGAAUGUGCAUGUGGAGCCUUCCACCAGAGCAUCGCUACUCGCCUCGGCAACUUUACUCAGUGUUGGAUCCACCAAGGAUGCCAGGAGGGGCCUCGACCACCAGCUGUGCAAAUCAGCCCCUAGUGUCUGGGAGGAGGUGGUCUGGAGGGCAGAAAGCCCAGUGGGGGUUGAGGAGAAGAAGGAAGAGAAGAAGGUUGGCAGUGCGGGAGAUGGGGGUAGGGGGGACUCUGACACCCUCUGUUGUCGCCAUUGGUUCGCUCCAAAUUAUCUCAGUCAACACACAGUUGCAGACUCAUCCUGGGUAUCUGCCUGUGACCCCCAUUUUUAAUUGCAGGUCACCCUCGAGCCCCCUGCAUGGAAAUUCCAGAACUGCCUGAGUUGCAGGUGGAGGUGGCUGAGUUGGGACCCCAUUAGGACAUUUUUUUUUCUUUGAGACAGAGUCUCACUCUGUCACCCAGGCUGGAGUGCAGUGGCACGAUCUCAGCUUACUGCAAUUUCCACCUCCCAGAUUCAAGCGAUUUUCCUGCCUCAGCCUCCCAAGUAGCUGGGACUACAGGCGUGUGCCAUCAUGCCCAGCUAAUUUUUGUAUUUUUAGUAGACACGGGGUUUCACCAUGUUGGCCAGCCUAGUCUCGAACUCCUGGCCUCAAGUGAUCCACCCACGUUGGCCUCCCAAAAUUCUGAGAUUACAGGCGUGAGCCACUGCGCCCAGCCUUAUCUAGGUCAUUUUCACAAACCAGGGCUACCUGGUGAAGUGGGUCCAGGAAAGGUCAUCCCAACCCCAUUCUGAAAGCGCCUUUUGGUGAAAUCUAGGUGCGGAGGCUGCACAGAGCCCAGACUUUAGCGGCUGUUUGAAGCUCACAUGCUAAUGACGUUUGUAUCCAAAUAAUAACAAAUGUCAGGUGUAUGCACCUGUCUCUCUCAUUUGUAUAUUGCCUGAAUGCUUUUCUCAGUGCCUCUUUCCUGGGCCAGAUGUGCAGCCACCGCCUGUUCUGGGGUGGCACGGAGGAGGAGGAGGAAAGGAUACUGAGGUUUAGCACAUUUAAGUUUGGAAACUGUUCGAUGCCAUCCCUGACAGUUCACCCUAGGAUCUGGGGGUGGAGAGUGAUGACAGAAGCGGGCAAAUAAUCUGUGAGUCUUUCAGCCGUUGCUGUGUGCCCCACCGUACACAUACCCUUUUCUAAUGUGUGCCAAACAGUGAAAUCUAAUGAUAAUAGAUAAGGAUUGUAGGAAGAAAGCAAUCUAGAACCGAUUAUUUCUUUUCUUUCUUCAGAAAUAACCGUUAGGUGAGGAAUGUGAUUUGAGGUGCACCAAGAGGGGUCCUCAGUUUCUAAACACUGCCCCCCAGACCCCCAAUACACACAUACCCUGCCUCUACCUCCACCCAAAGAGAGGACUCAAUACUGAGGUCAGAACUCCUCUACGUGGGACUAUAGCAAAGAAGAACGCAGGAGAGGGGACGGUGGCUGGGGACACAGCAGAUGGGCACUGCCAGGCAGGACUGCUGUGGGCAUUGCCAGGGAGAGCCAGGAUGCAAAAAUGGCAGUGAGGGGGCCCUGGUAAGGGCUUCUAGGGCUUUGCUGAUCUCCAGGCUCAUGCGAGGGCUGACUAGCUUGGGCAGACAGACCUUUUUUCUUUUUUCCCUCCAACAGAAACAAAAGGAUAAAAUCAUUGGCAUCACUGCUGGACAUGGUGGCUCACGCCUGUAAUCCCUGCACUUUGGGAGGCUGAGGCAGGUGAAUCACCUGAGGUCAGGAGUUCGAGACCAGCCUGGCCAACAUGGUGAAACCCUGUCUCUACUAACAAUACAAAAAUUAGCUGGGUGUGGUGGCGGGUGCCUGUAAUCCCAGCUACUCAGGAGGCUGAGACAUGAGAAUC
ensembl:lncRNA novel transcript